rnacentral:rRNA from 1 species
AGAGUUGAUCAUGGCUCAGAUUGAACGCUGGCGGCCAGGCCCUAACACAUGCAAGUCGAGCGGUAGCACAGAGAGCUUGCUCUCGGGUGACGAGCGGCGGACGGGUGAGUAAUGUCUGGGAAACUGCCUGAUGGAGGGGGAUAACUACUGGAAACGGUAGCUAAUACCGCAUAACGUCGCAAGACCAAAGUGGGGGACCUUCGGGCCUCAUGCCAUCAGAUGUGCCCAGAUGGGAUUAGCUAGUAGGUGGGGUAACGGCUCACCUAGGCGACGAUCCCUAGCUGGUCUGAGAGGAUGACCAGCCACACUGGAACUGAGACACGGUCCAGACUCCUACGGGAGGCAGCAGUGGGGAAUAUUGCACAAUGGGCGCAAGCCUGAUGCAGCCAUGCCGGCGUGUGUGAAGAAGGCCUUCGGGUUGUAAAGCACUUUCAGCGGGGAGGAAGGCGAUAAGGUUAAUAACCUUGUCGAUUGACGUUACCCGCAGAAGAAGCACCGGCUAACUCCGUGCCAGCAGCCGCGGGUAAUACGGAGGGUGCAAGCGUUAAUCGGAAUUACUGGGCGUAAAGGCGCACGCAGGCGGUCUGUCAAGUCGGAUGUGAAAUCCCCGGGCUCAACCUGGGAACUGCAUUCGAAACUGGCAGGCUAGAGUCUUGUAGAGGGGGGUAGAAUUCCAUGUGUAGCGGUGAAAUGCGUAGAGAUCUGGAGAAUACCGGUGGCGAAGGCGGCCCCCUGGACAAAGACUGACGCUCAGGUGCGAAAGCGUGGGGAGCAAACAGGAUUAGAUACCCUGGUAGUCCACGCCGUAAACGAUGUCGAUUUGGAGGUUGUGCCCUUGAGGCGUGGCUUCCGGAGCUAACGCGUUAAAUCGACCGCCUGGGGAGUACGGCCGCAAGGUUAAAACUCAAAUGAAUUGACGGGGGCCCGCACAAGCGGUGGAGCAUGUGGUUUAAUUCGAUGCAACGCGAAGAACCUUACCUGGUCUUGACAUCCACAGAACUUAGCAGAGAUGCUUUGGUGCCUUCGGGAACUGUGAGACAGGUGCUGCAUGGCUGUCGUCAGCUCGUGUUGUGAAAUGUUGGGUUAAGUCCCGCAACGAGCGCAACCCUUAUCCUUUGUUGCCAGCGGUUAGGCCGGGAACUCAAAGGAGACUGCCAGUGAUAAACUGGAGGAAGGUGGGGAUGACGUCAAGUCAUCAUGGCCCUUACGACCAGGGCUACACACGUGCUACAAUGGCAUAUACAAAGAGAAGCGACCUCGCGAGAGCAAGCGGACCUCAUAAAGUAUGUCGUAGUCCGGAUUGGAGUCUGCAACUCGACUCCAUGAAGUCGGAAUCGCUAGUAAUCGUAGAUCAGAAUGCUACGGUGAAUACGUUCCCGGGCCUUGUACACACCGCCCGUCACACCAUGGGAGUGGGUUGCAAAAGAAGUAGGUAGCUUAACCUUCGGGAGGGCGCUUACCACUUUGUGAUUCAUGACUGGGGGUGAAGUCGUAACAAGGUAACCGUAGGGGAACCUGCGGUUGGAUCACCU